UACGUAGGGUGCGAGCGUUAAUCGGAAUUACUGGGCGUAAAGCGUGCGCAGGCGGUUCGUUGUGUCGGCGGUGAAAGCCCCCGGGCUUAACCUGGGAAUGGCCGUUGAAACUGGCGAACUGGAGUGUGGCAGAGGGGGGUGGAAUUCCGCGUGUAGCAGUGAAAUGCGUAGAGAUGCGGAGGAACACCGAUGGCGAAGGCAGCCCCCCUGGGCUAACACUGACGCUCAGGCACGAAAGCGUGGGGAGCAAACAGG
rnacentral:rRNA from 1 species